GGGGUUUCAUAGGUAGCAAAGCAGCUCCCUCAUCGCUAUCUCUUGAAAGUCAGCCCUUGACACA
rnacentral:rRNA from 1 species